AUACGUAGGGGGCAAGCGUUGUCCGGAAUUAUUGGGCGUAAAGCGCGCGCAGGCGGUCUUUUAAGUCUGAUGUGAAAUCUCGCGGCUCAACCGCGAGCGGUCAUUGGAAACUGGGAGACUUGAGUGUAGGAGAGGAAAGUGGAAUUCCACGUGUAGCGGUGAAAUGCGUAGAGAUGUGGAGGAACACCAGUGGCGAAGGCGACUUUCUGGCCUACAACUGACGCUGAGGUGCGAAAGCGUGGGUAGCGAACAGGAUUAGAUACCCUGGUAGUCCACGCCGUAAACGAUGAGUGCUAGGUGUUAGGUGUUUCCAUACCCUUAGUGCCGGCGUUAACACAUUAAGCACUCCGCCUGGGGAGUACGGCCGCAAGGCUGAA
rnacentral:rRNA from 1 species